rnacentral:rRNA from 1 species
CAACCUGCCCACCACUUGGGGAUAACCUUGCGAAAGUAAGACUAAUACCCAAUGAUAUCUCUAGAAGCCAUCUGAAAGAGAUUAAAGAUUUAUCGGUGAUGGAUGGGGAUGCGUCUGAUUAGCUUGUUGGCGGGGUAACGGCCCACCAAGGCGACGAUCAGUAGGGGUUCUGAGAGGAAGGUCCCCCACAUUGGAACUGAGACACGGUCCAAACUCCUACGGGAGGCAGCAGUGAGGAAUACUGGUCAAUGGACGAGAGUCUGAACCAGCCAAGUAGCGUGCAGGAAGACGGCCCUAUGGGUUGUAAACUGCUUUUAUAAGGGAAUAAAGUGAGAGUCGUGACUCUUUUUGCAUGUACCUUAUGAAUAAGGACCGGCUAAUUCCGUGCCAGCAGCCGCGGUAAUACGGAAGGUCCGGGCGUUAUCCGGAUUUAUUGGGUUCAAAGGGAGCGUAGGCCGGAGAUUAAGCGUGUUGUGAAAUGUAGAUGCUCAACAUCUGAACUGCAGCGCGAACUGGUUUCCUUGAGUACGCACAAAGUGGGCGGAAUUCGUGGUGUAGCGGUGAAAUGCUUAGAUAUCACGAAGAACUCCGAUUG